AAUGAACGCUGGCGGCAGGCCUAACACAUGCAAGUCGAACGAGGGGCGGACGGGUGAGUAAUGUCUGAGACAUUGCCCGAUGGAGGGGGAUAACUACUGGAAACGGUCGCUAAAACCGCUAACCAUAGGGUGUGCCCCGAUGGGAUUAGCUAGUAGGUGGGGUAAUGGCUCAACUAGGCGACGAUCCCUAGCUGGGCUGAGAGGAUGACCAGCCACACGGUAACAUAGACACGGUCAAGACUCCGACGGGAGGCAGCAGUGGGGAAUAUUGCACAAUGGCCGCAAGCCUGAUGCAGCGAUGCCGCGUGUAUGAAGAAGGCCUUCGGGUUUUAAAGUACUUUCAGCGGUGAGGCGUUACCUGCAGAAGAAGCACCGGCUAACUCCGUGCCAGCAGCCGCGGUAAUAC
rnacentral:rRNA from 1 species